GAUGAACGCUGGCGGCGUGCUUAACACAUGCAAGUCGAGCGAGAGAGUUCUUCGGAACAAUCUAGCGGCGGACGGGUGAGUAACACGUGGGCAACCUGCCUCAUAGAGGGGAAUAACCUUCCGAAAGGAAGAUUAAUACCGCAUAACAUCGUUGAAGGGCAUCCUUCGAUGAUCAAAGGAGCAAUCCGCUAUGAGAUGGGCCCGCGGCGCAUUAGCUAGUUGGUGAGGUAACGGCUCACCAAGGCGACGAUGCGUAGCCGACCUGAGAGGGUGAUCGGCCACAUUGGGACUGAGACACGGCCCAGACUCCUACGGGAGGCAGCAGUGGGGAAUAUUGCACAAUGGGGGAAACCCUGAUGCAGCAACGCCGCGUGAGUGAUGACGGCCUUCGGGUUGUAAAGCUCUGUCUUUGGGGACGAUAAUGACGGUACCCAAGGAGGAAGUCACGGCUAACUACGUGCCAGCAGCCGCAGUAA
rnacentral:rRNA from 1 species